AAGGAGUUGCGGUUGUGGUUAGGCGGUUAAUGAACCCGGCUAGCAUCCGUGAGGACGCGGGUUCGAUCCCUGGCCCGGCUCAGUGGGUUGGGGAUCUGGCAUUGCCGUGAGCUGUGGUGUAGGCUCGGAUCCAGCGUUGCUGUGGCUCUGGUGUAGGCCUGUGGCUACAUCUCUGAUUGGACCCCUAGCCUGGGAACCUCCAUAUGCUGCGGGAGCGGCCCUAGGAAAGGCAAAAAAAAAAAAAAAAAAAAGGGUGGUGCUGGGUUUGGAGGCUGUAGAGGUCCCGGCCAGCCCGGGGCGCUGUGGCGGCCAAGAGCAGGAGGGCGGAGCCAGUGCUCAGGAGGUCUCCGCCCCGCAGUCUGCGUCGGGAGCAGUGCCUUGUGGGAAACUCCUAGUCCUUAACAUCCGCAGCCCCUGUCCGCCGCCCUCCGUGGUCCCGCAGAGAGGCAGAGAGGGCGCUGCGCCGAGGUGGGAGCGCCGGGAGCAGCAGCGUAAGGCGGCCAUAGAAUGCCCAGGGCCUCGCUGUCCUGAGCGGUCCUGAUCCAGACGCCUGCCCGUCCCGCACACGCCUCGCCGCCGCCGCCAGCGUGCCCGCCAUGGAGUCCAGAGGGAGGUCGGCCAACAGCCCCAAGGCCGACGCCAAGGCUACCACUGAGGCCAGGGCGCCCCCGGCUGUGGAUGGGAAAGUGCCCUCAGCCAAGAAGCAGGAGGCCCAAAAGGCAGAGAAGCAGGAGCCCCCGGCGGCCCCCACCCUGCCACCUGCCAAGAAGACCUCGGCCCUUCUCGACAACCACAGCAACCUGAAGCCGGCGCCCGCAGCCCCCAGUAGCCCAGAUGCAGCCCCCGAGCCCAAGGGCCCUGGGGAUGGGGCUGAGGAGGCCGAGGCCCCCAGCGGGGGCCCAGGGGGCCGAGGUCCCUGCCCUUUUGAGAACUUGAACCCCUUGCUUGUGGCCGGGGGCAUAGCCAUGGCAGCUGCAGCCCUGAUUCUCGGUGUGGUUUUCCUGGCCCGAAAAAAAUGAUGGCUGGCGCCCAGGUAGGGCGCAGCAGCUGCUUCGUGUACAGACCUCGGGAACCUUGUGCAUGCCAAGUUCACACCCAGCUAGCUACACACGCGUAGUAUCUAUACUUGUACACACCCACACACACAGAGGGAAAGCGAGGGACAGGCCCCCAGAGCCCUGGAGAUCAAGCCCCUGGGUCGGUCCCGGUACCUCCCCCUCCGAACCUCGGGGCAGAAGGAACCCCGGCUCGGAGGUUACUGAGCAGCACGGGCAGAGGCUCAGUCUGGACCAGGAAGGAGUGGACACAAGUGCCAGGCUGUUCCAAGAGGCUCGAGCGUGGGCCUGUGGGCUCCCUCGCAGCAGCGUUCUGACGAGCCCCCAGGGUGGGAGCCCUCAGGGCUGGGCAAGGGUCUGGGACGGGUUCUGACCUGUUCCCAGCCCGCACGGGGACAUUAAAGGGAUGGCUGUCUCACUCUCCCCAUUUCUGCGCCUUGCUUGCAGCUGUGGUGGGGGCGGGGGGGUGUCCAUCUGGUGGGCCUGCUGGCCUCACUUCCACCCACCUGCCUGGUCGCCUGAGCCCUGGCUGGGUGGACAGACGGCCCAAAGCCCGGUGCCGGGAGGGGCUCCCAAAGUUUCCUUCUGGCGGCCCCUCAUUUCCUCCUUGACCCCUUCCCCAUCCUGUGGCAAUUGCCCUGGGGGCAGCUGUGCCUGCCCAGCCCCCAGACGGCCCCUCCCGCCUCCGCCUCUGCAGCGCCCUGGAGUCUAACAGGCGCCUAAAUGCGAUUAAUGCAGGUGUAGAACCUUCGGCCUGUCUGCCCUGCGACGGUGCCUGGCGAACCCUCUCUCCCGCAGCGUCCGCUCCCGCCUGGCCCGUGGUGGGGGGUGGUGUGCACUCUCUGGAGGUGGCAGUGGGCCCUGUGGGAGCCCGACGUGCCCUUGCUUGGAGCCCUGGGCCUGAGUGGAGGCUGCGUCUGAAAUAAACUCCUCUGUUACCUG
ensembl:lncRNA